UAUUACAUGCAACAAAGAACCAUGACAUUCUAGAAUGUCAGGUACAACAGAGACAGCUGUUUGUCCCCCAGUAUCCUUCAGACAAAGCCAUAUAUGAUUGAAGGUUAUCAGUACUGUGCUUUUGGAGGAUUCAGAAGAAGUUAUAUCUGAUUGGGAGAUUGAAAAGGAUUGGCCUGAAGGAGAGGUGGUUUUUGAACUGCAUCUUAAAGGGUGAGGAAACUGAGGCUGAGAGGGUAGAGAACUUUGCCUGAGGUCACUCAGCAGGACGUUGCUUCGAAACUCAGGUCAUAGUGAGAAAGGCAGGGGCAUCCUUCCGUUCCUCACUUCUCCAGCCCUGUGCCUGCUCAGCUCACUGGAGAACGUGAAAUGAAGAUCAACUGGACCGAGGCCCAGGCAUAUCUGCUCACCAAGAAUAAGACAGAAAACAAUAAAAGCAAAUCAUGACCCACCCAUCACAGUAAAUGCCAGCACUGCUGAUGCCAAAACAAUGUUAUUUGUGGGCCCUCGGAAUUUGUGACCUGAAGGAAGAAGAGCAGGGCCGUGGGAAGUAUGUAACCAGUGUCAUGCCCCUGGUCCCAAGGAAGCAGUGGCUUGGUAAAGAGGGGACCCCCGUCAAUAACUCCCUGUAAUUACUGGGCACCCACUCUGAGCUCCUCAGUGGAAUCCUAAGGUUAAUAAGACUGUCUCUAGCCACUGGGGCUCCCAGCCUGGAGUGAGGCCUGAACACCCUGUCCUACCUGGUCCUACCUGGAUGCUGGCCUCAGUAAGCUCCUGGGCUCAUUGAAGAUGAACCUAGCAGUAGUAUUUACACCACUUGUUGUGUGCCCACUGUGGGCCCGGCGCCAUGCCGAGUGCUCUAUGGAUGUGAGGGAAACGGAGGCCCAGAAAGCAGAAAUGAUGUGUUAAGAUCACUCAUCAAGCUGAUGGUACAGAGGUGAGAACACUGAAGCAGUUUUUUCUAAAGAUAGCUGCCUGGCACAGUGGCUCACAUCUGUAGUCCCAGCAUUUGGGGAGGCCAAGGCAGGUGGAUCACUUGAGGCCAGGAAUUCAAGACCAGCAUGGCCAACA
rnacentral:lncRNA from 1 species